UUAAUAUACACUUCAGCUUCGUAAUUACUGUAAAUUACAACAUUUUUCGUUCCAUCGUGAAGAUCCAUUACUUCAGUAAGAACAAGGAUCAAAAGUUUCAUCAAAGUUUGGCGUGAGAUUACAUCUGUUACGGGCGAAACGCGUCUCACUGUCAAUGCGUCAGACUUGGUAGCCCUUAUAAAUAUAUGAAUUGGAUGGGUCAAUGCAACAUAUACAUAUUUAAACCAUUUAUUUUAUAUCCACUUAGGUCAAAUAUCAUAUAGGUUGUAACUUGUUAGCCUGAUUGUUAGUAAUAUAAUAGUCGUAGGGUUUAAUGCUAUAGAUUUUAUUAGAUUGUAUAGAUAUCGAACAGCAUUUGCUUUACCAACAUAUUUUAUCUGCAAGUGACAGAAAAUACUAUUUUUUGACUCAUUAGUUUUAUACCCAUAAACAAAUGUUAGGUAGGAGUAUAUACUUAAAGCGGUUUGUUAGUUUCUGCUGUGAGGUUUUUGUACGGCGGCUGAUGCGCCGUGAAUCACUGUGGUUAACUUUCGGCGGCGGUACCAGACUGGAUGUUGGAAGUAACAGAACCCCCACCCUGACGGUCCUGCCCCCCUCCAGUGUGGAGGUGUCCAGCAAGAACACGGCCACCCUGAUGUGCCUGGCCAACAGGGGCUUCCCCUCCGACUGGAAGCUGAGCUGGAAGGUGGACGGUAAAAGCAAAGUGGCGGAGACGAGCCGCGGGCUCCUGGAGAAGGACGGCCUGUACAGCUGGAGCAGCAGCCUGAGCCUCACUGCGGACGAGUGGAAGAAGGCGGGCUCAGUGGUCUGUGAGGCCAAUCAGGGCUCCCAGGCUGCUGUCACUCAAACGCUGACGAGGGCCGACUGUUCAGAGUAGAUGAGCUCAGCGCCACCUGUGAUGAGCGGCUGAUUACUGUGUUUUUACUGUCUUGUGCUAUUCGCUUCUGAUUUACUGAUUACAUAGAGAAAAUAACGUGCUUUGCUUGAUUCCUGAGUGAAAAUCAUUACUGAUGUUUUAUUAGUCUUUGUGUCUCCCUGUAUUAUCUUUUGUGUUUUGUACCUGAAUGCUGCAGAGAUAAAUAAAUAUUUCAUUCUGUCUGACAAA